rnacentral:rRNA from 1 species
UUGUUGAUCCCGCCAGUAUUAUAUGCUCAUGUUAAAGAUUAAGCCAUGCAUGUGUAAGUUUAAAGUCCAAGUAGGAUGAAACUGCGGACGGCUCAUUAUAACAGUUAUAGUUUCUUUGGUUAGUAAAAUAUAAGGAUAACUUUGUGAAUGAUAAAGCUAAUACUUGAGACGAUCUGGAUUGUAGUAAUACAAUUCGGCCGUUGGCAGCAAUGCCGCGAGAAAUGAUAUUCUUUAUGAAUAGGGAUACCAUGACAAUUGUAGAGUACACAGUGCUUAACAAGUAACCAAUGAGAAUUUCUGAUCUAUCAAUUUGUUGGUAGUAUCGAGGACUACCAAGAUUAUAACGGAUAACGAGGAAUUUGGGUUCGACAUCGGAGAGGGAGCUUUACAGAUGGCUACCACUUCCAAGGAAGGCAGCAGGCGCGUAAAUUACCCACCUUCGACGCGAAGAGGUAGUGACGACAAAUAACUCUUGGGGUCCCUUUGGGACUUCUUGAAGGAAUGACUUAGAAGCAAAGUCUCUAAGGAAAUCAAUUGGAGGGCAAGUCUGGUGCCAGCAGCCGCGGUAAUUCCAGCUCCAAUAGUGAAGUGAG